GGAGAAGGCUUGUGAGGGGGAAAUGUGAGAGGAGAAGGGGCGCGAGGGGGAACCGCGAGGGGAGAAGGGGCGCGAGGGGGAACAGCGAGGGGAGAAGGGGUCCCGCCUCCUGGCCGCGCCGCCCUAGGUGUCGCCGCCUGGCGGUUACGAGGAGGCCGCCUCCUGCUUGCCGGCCUGGCGGUCCUACUCGACACCGCAAGAUUUCAAAAGGGAAAUUCCUCCAGGGCUGAGUCACAGGGAAGAAAGCGAUUUCCUCCGCCUCUUCCAAAGCGGAUUUUAUAACCUGACAGCGUGCUGGAACUUCUCUGCUGGACUCCUGGACUCCCACAAUGAGUCAAUUUUGUGUACUGAAAACAAAUGCAGUUCAAAAAUGUGGGUGAGGUUGCUGUCUGUCACCUACCAGCUAUGUGAUUCGGUGGCAAAUCUAUUACUCUUGAUCCAAUCCUGCUAGGAAGAACCUCACCCUACUUAGCUGCUGCUGGGUAUCAAAUAGAUGCUGCUCAAAAGGUGGCUAAAGAGCCUAAGUGGAGAUCUGCUUGUAUUCUUCAUUGAUGAAGUCUAAAUAUGAAGCUAGAACUGAAGACAUUCCAUCAGAUUGACUGUUACAGGGUAGGGAGCUGCAGCACAAGCACAGAGAAGCCAGCAGCUUCAUCACAUCACACCAGCUCUGCAGCGCCAAGGCAGACACACCAGCUCUGCGGCACCGAGGCAGACACACCAGCUCUGCGGUGCCGAGGCAGAGCCUGCGCCCUCUGAUGCUCUGUGUCGUGUUUUUUCCCACUUCGCCAUGCUGCAUUUUCCUUAGGGCUCUGACAUCUCCUUCUGACACUGAUUUUUUUUUUUUGACACUGAAUUUUUAAAUAAUUAUUUUUCAAGGUGCAACAUUUUGACGUCAAAAUUCAGCUAGUGAGAUUUCCAAAGUCCCUUUCUUCUAAUUUCUUAUUUCCAAGUAUUUUUUUUAAUUGCAGCUUAAUUUAUGAUAAGAAGCAGCUGCAUUUCUUGACCCCAAAGUACUAGAGUGAAUUAAUAAUUUAACGUGGUGCAACCACUGAUUCAAGUGCUUUUAAUGUCUCAUUUAAUCCUAAAGCCUGUGCUGGCCUCUGAGAUGUAGUUACUGCUGUUAUUCUCAUUAAAAAGGUGAAAGAACUAAGGUAUGAGGUGCUCAAGUAACUUUCCAAAGGUGACUCAGCUAGGAGUGGAGGAGCUCCUGGGAGUGGAGGAGCUCCUCAAAAGUGAGGAGUUCCUUUUUGGAUACAGGUGGCUUGGCCCCAGACUUACACUCUUAGAUGUUGUUCUCGACCUUUGGACCCAGACUAGCUCACUGGGACAUUAGACUAUACAGUAAAGGGAGAAGGGAAUCCUACCUGACUGCUUCAUUGUCAGCAGGAUGAAUAGGAAGGAGGCGACUGCACCAGACAGAUUGUAGCCUGGAAAAUCCACCAUCCUCCCUGGAACAAAGACAAGGAAACGCUGUGCCUAAGUGAGGCUGUGACACACCCGGCACACUCCAUGGCUUCCAUUGGUUAUGCAGUCUUAGCAGAGAAUCCACAUCAACCCCUGCACAGUCAGUGAAAUGGGCUUGGCUCCAUUUCUCUGCAAUUACUGAUCACAUCCAACCCUUUACCUAACGUGUUAUAUUGUGAGACAAUGUAGCAAAUGUAAGAAGCCUUGCUUGCUCAUUUCGGCUUGCUAGCAUACUUUCACAAAGCCCCUGCUGUGAUGACCUGCAGUUCUCCAGAAAGAUGCUUCAAAGACAAAACAAGAUUGAGCACACGGCCUCCCAUCUCUCUUGCCUGAGUCACUCUACUCCUUAAAAGAUAAGCAAUAAUAGUCCUUGCCUUUUCCUACACAUAAGAUAACGUCUGAUUGAAGGAUACCUCUGUAACCUAUAACCAGAUCUGCUCAUACACCCAAACGUUGAUGUAGUUCGGCUUCAAUGUAGCUUCUGAGCUAAUUUGAUGUAGUGGUUAAUAUGUAACCUCCUGACAUCGAAAAGGAUAUGGAUUUGUUUCUGAAUCAUAAAGUUUUACUGAUUGUUUUGUGCAUGAAA